UCCUCCCAUCGAACCAAAAGCUCUCCAUCUCUUCUUCCUAAAAUCAAAGAUUUCUCUCAAAUAUCUCCUCCCACUAAUUUUCACUCCUCAAAUCACCGGUUAAGGAACCAACUUCCUCUCCUCUCCCUUCCUCAUUUGGGGCGGUUUGAGCUUGCCCUAGAAUCAUCUCCUCUUCUCCAAAUCAGUGAUUUAACUCCUCAAAUCCUUGCCUUCUUCCUUCCAAAAUCCUUUCCUCUCUGCCUCACAUUUAGUCUCCUAAGCUCCUUUCAAGUCUCUCUUGACAUAAUGGCUCCCAAAAUGACGCUACCACAAAGGAGAAAAUCUAUUCGC
rnacentral:lncRNA from 1 species